rnacentral:rRNA from 1 species
UGGGGAAUAUUGCACAAUGGGGGAAACCCUGAUGCAGCGACGCCGCGUGAACGAAGAAGGUAUUCGUAUCGUAAAGUUCUGUCCUAUGGGAAGAUAAUGACAGUACCAUAGAAGAAAGCUCCGGCUAAAUACGUGCCAGCAGCCGCGGUAAUACGUAUGGAGCGAGCGUUGUCCGGAAUUAUUGGGCGUAAAGGGUACGCAGGCGGUUUAAUAAGUCGAAUGUUAAAGAUCGGGGCUCAACCCCGCAAAGCAUUGGAAACUGAUAAACUUGAGUAGUGGAGAGGAAAGUGGAAUUCCCAGUGUAGUGGUGAAAUACGUAGAUAUUAGGAGGAAUACCAGUAGCGAAGGCGACUUUCUGGACACAAACUGACGCUGAGGUACGAAAGCGUGGGGAGCAAACAGG